rnacentral:misc_RNA from 1 species
AGCAGCCGCGGUAAUUCCAGCUCCAAUAGCGUAUAUUAAAGUUGUUGCAGUUAAAAAGCUCGUAGUUGAACUUCGGGGUUCACCCAUUGGUCAGGCUUAAUUGUCUGUACUGGUGAGAUGAGUCUCUACCUUCUGAGGAACUUUCAUGCCAUUUAUUUGGUGUGGUUGGAAAUCAGGACUGUUACUUUGAAAAAAUUAGAGUGUUUAAAGCAGGCUAACGUCUGAAUACAUUAGCAUGGAAUAAUGAAAUAGGACGUUUGAUUCUAUUUUGUUGGUUUCUAGGAUCGACGUAAUGAUUAAUAGGGAUAGUUGGGGGCAUUAGUAUUCAACUGUCAGAGGUGAAAUUCUUGGAUUUAUUGAAGACUAACUACUGCGAAAGCAUUUGCCAAGGAUGUUUUCAUUAAUCAAGAACGAAAGUUAGGGGAUCGAAGACGAUCAGAUACCGUCGUAGUCUUAACCAUAAACUAUGCCGACUAGGGAUCGGAUGAUGUUAAUUUUUUAAUGACUCAUUCGGCGCCUU